UGGGCUGGUCAAAAAUUGCCUUUGGGUUUUUCUGUAAGGUCUUAGGGAAAAACCCGAGUGAACUUUUUGGCCAACCCAAU
rnacentral:miRNA from 1 species